rnacentral:rRNA from 1 species
GAUGAACGCUAGCUACAGGCUUAACACAUGCAAGUCGCGGGGCAUCAUGGAGGUUGCUUGCAAUUUCUGAUGGCGACCGGCGCACGGGUGAGUAACGCGUAUCCAACCUUCCCAUUACUACGGCAUACCCCGUUGAAAGGCGGCCUAAUUCCGUAUGCAGUCCGAAGCAGUCAUCUAAUUUGGACGAAAGGUAUAUUCUAUCGGUAAUGGAUGGGGAUGCGUCCGAUUAGCCAGCCGGCGGGGUAACGGCCCACCGGGGCAUUGAUCGGUAGGGGUUCUGAGAGGAAGGUCCCCCACACUGGAACUGAGACACGGUCCAGACUCCUACGGGAGGCAGCAGUGAGGAAUAUUGGUCAAUGGGCGUAAGCCUGAAACCAGCCAAAGUAGCGUGCAGGAUGACGGCCCCUAUGGGUUGUAAAACUGC